CUUAAAUGAAUUGACGGGGGCCCGCACAAGCGGUGGAGCAUGUGGUUUAAUUCGAUGCAACGCGAAGAACCUUACCUACUCUUGACAUCCAGAGAACUUAGCAGAGAUGCUUUGGUGCCUUCGGGAACUCUGAGACGGGUGCUGCAUGGCUGUCGUCAGCUCGUGUUGUGAAAUGUUGGGUUAAGCCCCGCAACGAGCGCAACCCUUAUCCUUUGUUGCCAGCGGUUCGGCCGGGAACUCAAAGGAGACUGCCAGUGAUAAACUGGAGGAAGGUGGGGAUGACGUCAAGUCAUCAUGGCCCUUACGAGUAGGGCUACACACGUGCUACAAUGGCAUAUACAAAGAGAAGCGACCUCGCGAGAGCAAGCGGACCUCAUAAAGUAUGUCGUAGUCCGGAUUGGAGUCUGCAACUCGACUCCAUGAAGUCGGAAUCGCUAGUAAUCGUGGAUCAGAAUGCCACGGUGAAUACGUUCCCGGGCCUUGUACACACCGCCCGUCACACCAUGGGAGUGGGUUGCAAAAGAAGUAGGUAGCUUAACCUUCGGGAGGGCGCUUACCACUUUGUGAUUCAUGACUGGGGUGAAGUCGUAACAAGGUAAC
rnacentral:rRNA from 1 species